rnacentral:rRNA from 1 species
GGGAAUAGGGCGUUGAAGGGCGUAGGCUAUGAUGAUGCCAGGCAAAUCCGGCGUUUGAGCUGAAACCCGAAAGUACGGGGUCCCCUUCGGGGGAACCUGAGAGCGAGGGUAAGCAUACUCCCGAGAAAAUGGGCUAAACUCAUGUUGGCGGUACCCGUACCGCAAACCGACACAGGUAGUUGGGUAGAACAUACUAAGGCGUUGAGAGAUUCAUGGCUAAGGAACUAGGCAAACUGACCCCGUAACUUCGGGAUAAGGGGUCCUCACCUCCGGGUGAGGCGCAGAGAAUAGGUCCAGGCAACUGUUUAACAAAAACACAGGGCUGUGCGAACUCGAAAGAUGAAGUAUACAGCCUGACACCUGCCCGGUGCCGGAAGGUUAAGAGGAGAUGUCACCGCAAGGGAAGCAUUGAAUUGAAGCCCCGGUAAACGGCGGCCGUAACAAUAACGGUCCUAAGGUAGCGAAAUUCCUUGUCGGGUAAGUUCCGACCUGCACGAAUGGUGUAAUGAUCCGGACGCUGUCUCGGCCAUGAGCUCAGUGAAAUUGUAGUAUCGGUGAAGAUGCCGAUUACCCGCGAUGGGACGAAAAGACCCCGUGAACCUUUACUACAGCUUAGCAUUGACCUUGGUCAUCCGAUGUGUAGGAUAGGCCGGAGGCUUCGAAGCGGCGUCGCCAGGCGUUGUGGAGCCAUCCUUGAAAUACGGCCCUUUGGCUGUCUGAGGUCUAACGCGGAUAGUCGCGGACACUGCUUGGUGGGUAGUUUGACUGGGGUGGUCGCCUCCAAAAGCGUAACGGAGGCUUCCAAAGGUGCCCUCGGGCCGUUUGGUAAGCGGCCUUCAAGAGUGCAAUGGCAAAAGGGCGCUUGACUGGGAGGGAGACAUCCCGAGCAGGCAGGAAACUGGGGCAUAGUGAUCCGGCGGAUGUGUAUGGAAACUCCGUCGCUCAAAGGAUAAAAGGUACUCCGCGGAUAACAGGCUGAUCCCCCCCAAGAGCUCAUAUCGACGGGGUGGUUUGGCACCUCGAUGUCGGCUCGUCACAUCCUGGGGCUGGAGAAGGUCCCAAGGGUUGGGCUGUUCGCCCAUUAAAGUGGCACGCGAGCUGGGUUCAGAACGUCGUGAGACAGUUCGGUCUCUAUCUAUCGUGGGCGCAGGAGUUUUGAGUGGUGCUGUCACUAGUACGAGAGGACCGUGACGGACAGACCUCCGGUGUACCGGUUGUGCCGCCAGGCGCACCGCCGGGUAUCCGCGUCUGGAUCGGAUAAGCGCUGAAAGCAUCUAAGUGCGAAGCUUUCCACGAGAUUAGAACUCCAUUGAGGGUCGUCGCAGACGACGACGUUGAUAGGGCGCAGGUGUAAAGACGGCGACGUCAAAGCCGAGCGCUACUAAUUGCCC